CACGUAGGGCGCGAGCGUUGUCCGGAAUUAUUGGGCGUAAAGAGCUCGUAGGCGGCCUGUUGCGUCCGCUGUGAAAGCCCGGGGCUUAACCCCGGGUCGGCAGUGGAUACGGGCAGGCUAGAGGUAGGUAGGGGAGACUGGAAUUCCUGGUGUAGCGGUGAAAUGCGCAGAUAUCAGGAGGAACACCGGUGGCGAAGGCGGGUCUCUGGGCCGAUAUUGACGCUGAGGAGCGAAAGCGUGGGGAGCAAACAGG
rnacentral:rRNA from 1 species